rnacentral:rRNA from 1 species
UGCAAGUCGGGCGGUAACACAGAGGAGCUUGCUCCUUGGGUGACGAGCGGCGGACGGGUGAGUAAAGUCUGGGGAUCUGCCUGAUGGAGGGGGAUAACUACUGGAAACGGUAGCUAAUACCGCAUGACGUCUUCGGACCAAAGUGGGGGACCUUCGGGCCUCACGCCAUGAGAUGAACCCAGAUGGGAUUAGCUGGUAGGUGAGGUAACGGCUCACCUAGGCGACGAUCCCUAGCUGGUCUGAGAGGAUGACCAGCCACACUGGAACUGAGACACGGUCCAGACUCCUACGGGAGGCAGCAGUGGGGAAUAUUGCACAAUGGGGGAAACCCUGAUGCAGCCAUGCCGCGUGUGUGAAGAAGGCCUUCGGGUUGUAAAGCACUUUCAGCGGGGAGGAAGGCAAUAAACUUAAUAAGUUUGUUGAUUGACGUUACCCGCAGAAGAAGCACCGGCUAACUCCGUGCCAGCAGCCGCGGUAAUACGGAGGGUGCAAGCGUUAAUCGGAAUGACUGGGCGUAAAGCGCACGCAGGCGGUCUGUUAAGUUGGAUGUGAAAUCCCCGGGCUCAACCCGGGAACAGCAUUCAAAACUGACAGGCUAGAGUCUCGUAGAGGGGGGUAGAAUUCCAGGUGUAGCGGUGAAAUGCGUAGAGAUCUGGAGGAAUACCGGUGGCGAAGGCGGCCCCCUGGACGAAGACUGACGCUCAGGUGCGAAAGCGUGGGGAGCAAACAGGAUUAGAUACCCUGGUAGUCCACGCCGUAAACGAUGUCGACUUGGAGGCUGUGGUCUUGAACCGUGGCUUCCGGAGCUAACGCGUUAAGUCGACCGCCUGGGGAGUACGGCCGCAAGGUUAAAACUCAAAUGAAUUGACGGGGGCCCGCACAAGCGGUGGAGCAUGUGGUUUAAUUCGAUGCAACGCGAAGAACCUUACCUACUCUUGACAUCCAGAGAAGACUGUAGAGAUACGGUUGUGCCUUCGGGAGCUCUGAGACAGGUGCUGCAUGGCUGUCGUCAGCUCGUGUUGUGAAAUGUUGGGUUAAGUCCCGCAACGAGCGCAACCCUUAUCCUUUGUUGCCAGCGAUACGGUCGGGAACUCAAAGGAGACUGCCGGUGAUAAACCGGAGGAAGGUGGGGAUGACGUCAAGUCAUCAUGGCCCUUACGAGUAGGGCUACACACGUGCUACAAUGGCGCAUACAAAGAGAAGCGAGCCUGCGAGGGUGAGCGGACCUCAUAAAGUGCGUCGUAGUCCGGAUUGGAGUCUGCAACUCGACUCCAUGAAGUCGGAAUCGCUAGUAAUCGUAGAUCAGAAUGCUACGGUGAAUACGUUCCCGGGCCUUGUACACACCGCCCGUCACACCAUGGGAGUGGGUUGCAAAAGAAGUAGGUAGCUUAAC